ACAGGUUCCAAAUUCCAAAGAUAUAAGGUUAUUGAUCCACUUAGUUCAUAUCCUCUACAAAAUAAAAGGAUUGAAUAAAUUCAUUAGUUUGAAGAACUGAACAAUAAUCCAUAAGUGAUCAUACUCAUGGCCAGUGUUUUGGAGAGCGCAAAGCGCAAAAAGCGACAAGGGCUCGCCUUGCUUCAAAAGCGAAGUGCACGUUUUUUUGUACAUCUUUUCCACUGCCCAUCGUGCAAAAACUCUAACUGCACGCUCCCUCAAAGUGUCUCUAGCAACUUAUUGUACAUCUUUUUCACUGCCCUUUGCUCCUUGCUUCAUUGAGAAGUAGCAAUCAAUUGGAGCUCUAGUCGAUGAUCCAUGGCUUGACCCAUCCCUUUCUCGUUUUGUUGGAAGUGACAAUUCUUCAUUAUCGUCGUCGUCAUCAUCAUCAUCAUCAUCAAGAUUGGUCACUAUUGGUUGAUGAACCAUUUGAUUUUUU
rnacentral:lncRNA from 1 species